CUUCUUCAUAAUCACUAAGAGUCACUCGAUCCUCUGCAAGUCCUAGAGAUUAGAGCACGGGGUUUAUAAUCUGUCGCGACUAAGAGAAUCAGCAGCCACCGGAUUCAAGUCUUUUCACAUCCCUGUUCAUUGGAUGCUUGACACCGGAUUCGUCAGUCAGGUCUAUACUCCGAGGAAUACGUCUUAUGCUAGUGAGGAAAUUGAUGUGGUUCGUGAGCAAUGGGCUGCAAGUAUUUAUUAUUGGCCUAGCGGCGCUUGAUCGAGUUAGUCUAGAUAUUAUAGAACAAUCUUUUAUGUUAAAAUGUAUGCAUACGUUGA